UGGCGCACGGGUGAGUAAUGCAUAGAUAAUGUGCCCCUUAGUUCGGGAUAGCCACUGGAAACGGUGAUUAAUACCGGAUACUCCUUCUUGUUAUAAGACAAGUCGGGAAAGUUUUUCGCUAAGGGAUCAGUCUGUGUUCCAUCAGCUUGUUGGUGAGGUAAUGGCUCACCAAGGCUAUGAGGGAUAUCUGGUUUGAGAGGAUGAUCAGACACACUGGAACUGAGACACGGUCCAGACUCCUACGGGAGGCAGCAGUGAGGAAUAUUGCACAAUGGAGGAAACUCUGAUGCAGCAACGCCGCGUGGAGGAUGACGCAUUUCGGUGUGUAAACUCCUUUUAUUAGGGAAGAUAAUGACGGUACCUAAUGAAUAAGCACCGGCUAACUCCGUGCCAGCAGCCGCGGUAAUACGGAGGGUGCAAGCGUUACUCGGAAUCACUGGGCGUAAAGGGUGCGUAGGCUGGCUUUUAAGUCAGAUGUGAAAUCCAAUGGCUCAACCAUUGAACUGCAUUUGAAACUGAAAGCCUAGAGUUCAGAAGGGGCAGAUGGAAUUAGUGGUGUAGGGGUAAAAUCCGUAGAUAUCACUAGGAAUAUCAAAAGCGAAGGCGAUCUGCUGGGAUG
rnacentral:rRNA from 1 species